rnacentral:rRNA from 1 species
UUAAUUGAAGAGUUUGAUCAUGGCUCAGAUUGAACGCUGGCGGCAGGCCUAACACAUGCAAGUCGAGCGGUAACAGGGGAAGCUUGCUUCCCGCUGACGAGCGGCGGACGGGUGAGUAAUGUAUGGGGAUCUGCCCGAUAGAGGGGGAUAACCACUGGAAACGGUGGCUAAUACCGCAUAAUCUCUUAGGAGCAAAGCAGGGGAACUUCGGUCCUUGC